rnacentral:rRNA from 1 species
AUUGAACGCUGGCGGCAUGCCUUACACAUGCAAGUCGAACGGUAACAGGUCUUCGGAUGCUGACGAGUGGCGAACGGGUGAGUAAUACAUCGGAACGUGCCUAGUAGUGGGGGAUAACUACUCGAAAGAGUGGCUAAUACCGCAUGAGAUCUACGGAUGAAAGCAGGGGAUCGCAAGACCUUGUGCUACUAGAGCGGCCGAUGGCAGAUUAGGUAGUUGGUGGGAUAAAAGCUUACCAAGCCAACGAUCUGUAGCUGGUCUGAGAGGACGAUCAGCCACACUGGGACUGAGACACGGCCCAGACUCCUACGGGAGGCAGCAGUGGGGAAUUUUGGACAAUGGGCGCAAGCCUGAUCCAGCAAUGCCGCGUGCAGGAUGAAGGCCUUCGGGUUGUAAACUGCUUUUGUACGGAACGAAAAGCCCUGGGUUAAUACCCUGGGGUCGUGACGGUACCGUAAGAAUAAGCACCGGCUAACUACGUGCCAGCCGCCGCCGUAA